rnacentral:lncRNA from 1 species
CUGGACCAUUAUAAAUAAGAAGAUGCGAUAUGAGUGCUAUCGAGACAACUAUCCAACAAACUCACAGUGUAAAAAUACAUUUGUCUGCAACACCGUCGCACUGCCUUUGAAAAAUUAGCGGGGAAAUAUAACGUUACGUCCCGAAACGUCUUAAUUUUUGGCGCAAUUUGUGAGGCGUACGGAAGGGAUUGAGUAAACAAUAU